AACGCGAAAGAAGCCUUCGGCUUUCAAGUAGAGUGGCGCCCGGGUGAGUAACACGUAGGUAAUCUACCUUCGGGUGGGGAAUAACGCAGGGAAACUUGCGCUAAUACCGCAUAAUGCAGCGGCACCACAUGGUGACAGUUGUUAAAGCGGGGGAUCUUCGGAUCUCGCGCCUGAAGAGGAGCCUGCGGCAGAUUAGCUAGUUGGUAAGGUAACGGCUUACCAAGGCGACGAUCUGUAGCCGGCCUGAGAGGGCGGUCGGCCACACUGACACUGACAUACGGGUCAGACUCCUACGGGAGGCAGCAGUCGGGAAUUUUGGGCAAUGGGCGAAAGCCUGACCCAGCAACGCCGCGUGAAGGAUGAAAUCCCUCGGGAUGUAAACUUCGCAAGAAUGGGAAGAAUGAACGAGCGCUAAUACCGUUCGUGAUGACGGUACCAUUUGUAAGCUCCGGCUAACUCCGUGCCAGCAGCCGCGGUAAUACGGGGGGAGC
rnacentral:rRNA from 1 species